GCCCGGGCGCUAGCUCCGAGCCGGUCUGGGCGAGGAGGACCCAAGGGAAGAGGUGCAGGGGUGAGGAGCGCGAGAGGGGACCCGGGGAAGGGGGCGCCCGGGCGGAGGAGGGCGCCGUUGGAGCCAAAAGGCACAAGGACCCGCCGCUUCGGGGACCGAGACUUGGGUAGGCUAGUAAGCUCUCCAAUCUCGGCGUGCCUGCGGACUUCCUGGAACGGGCGUUUCAGGCUGAAGCCCCAGCUGCCUCGGUGACUUCAGGAAAGAAACGACAAUGAAUUAUGUGGAGGACACUGAACCUUGAUUGCAAGAAAGGGAUGGAGGAGCAGAUCUCUGGGGGUAAGUCCCGUGAGCCCCAAUCAAGGAAUGCUGGUUGGGCGCCGGAGGGGAGAUAUGGCUGUGACAGCAAAGUCUGCAAGUGAAAAGGCAGAAGCAGGGAGCAGGAGUGAGACCCUGAAGAACUGGAUGGCGCUUUAUGGGAGCACCAGCAGGAGGGAACCCAAGACACAGCUGGACGGCAAAAGGAAACUCGCACACCUAGGGAUGCAUGAUUGACAAUGAGGAUUUCCAGAAACUUGGGCACUUAAACUGUGAUCGAAGAUACUUCCCUUCUGGGGAGGCCUCGAUUUCUCUAUCUGAGUAAGGAAUAAUAAUGCCAAUCCAUUUGACUAGCUGAGGGACGGCAGAAGUUUGUUAUCAUCAGCAGACCAAGCCGAAGUUCAAGCACUCCCUGCAAAACUUCAGAAGGGUCUGCCUUGUCCUUUGUUAAUGGAAGAGUUCACUCUUUCCUGCAGGCACCAUUGCUUGAGGCCCUCUCCCUGCCAAGCAUUGUGAAGGUAAAGACAAAAAGGAUGGGAGACUGGGACCCUGGGACCCCAUGGCCAUGCAGAUACUGUCUGAUUUAAUCAAGAAGUGUUUACUGAAUGGUGCUGGAGGUUAAAGAAGUAUAAGGCCUACUUCAUCCCAUUCCUCAAGGAGCUUGUAAUUCUUGUUGGGAGAGCAAGGCAAUCACAUAUGAAAUCAACAGGAACAACAUGGAGCAAUAUAUAACCAAGCUCUACAUUGUGCGGUACCGACUUCAAUUGCCAUUGGAAUUCAGAAUGAGGGAGAUCAAUAACGAGGGAGCCGGUGGUGACAGCUAAAGCUCCCGGCCUGAAGCAUUCUUUAGUCUCAGUCAUUGUUCAUGCCACAGACUGUUUCUGUUCCAAACAGUAGAAGCCGGUCAGAAGGCCUCAGUCACAUCACGGAUGACUCAUAGGUCUCCAGAGUUUCAUUUCAAGUUUCUAAAAUCACAAGUGUGGGUCUUGUCGACUCCUCCUGGAGGGCCCACCCACCAACCAACUCGAAAUGUGGCUGCAGGCGGGCUCGGUGUCCCCAGCCCUGGUGUCCCCAGCCCCGGUGUCCCCAGCCCCGGUGUCCCCAGCCCCGGGGGUGGAUGGGAGACUGAGAAGAGGGACUUCCUGUUCCCACCUGACAGGGCUGUUUGAACCAGACAGGGUGAAUAAGCUCACACCUGCACCCCAUUCCUGCCUCACCCCAAACCCCUCAGACCUUUGGGAGCACUCGAUUCCUGGUAAUAAUUCACUAUUUGAUUGGGAGGCCAGUGGGUACUUGCUGAUCUUACAGAGCAUCAGUGGACAGGGUGUGGGCAGGGAGGGAAGGGGGAAGAAAAGAGGAGGGCCUGCAGAAUUCCAAACACAGAAACAGAAUUUGAGAGGGAUGAGGGCAGAUACACAGGGGACUGAGGACUAGAACACGUUGUCUGCCUUGACACAUGUUUCUCUCUCCCCUCUGUUCUUAGGGCACCAUUCAGACCUGGGGUCCGAGAGGCUCUCCCAACCCCACCUCAGCCCCACCCAGCUGCUCGGAAAGUCCCCCCGGUUUCUGCUCCCAGUUCCCAAACUGCAGGUGUAAGUUGAGGUGUCUCAGGUGUGCUCCAGGUGUGCUCAGGUGUGCUCUGGGCAGGGCCUCAUUUUCCUCUCGCCCAGGAGUCGACAGGGCAGAGACCCAGCCCUAGGGAUGCCAGUGUGCCUUCCUUUCAAGUGAUGUGCUUGGGAAGUCUUUAAAAUUUGUCUGAACCAACUAAAUUAGAAUUUACUUUUGUUGAGAAAGUAAAAGAGUGUCCCAUGUCCUUUCAGGAGCAACAUCUGUCAGGGUGAGAUGUCAAGCAGUGGCCCAGAAUUCAACAAACACAGACAGUGAGCUGAAGCUUGUCCAGGGGCCCGCGGAUCCCGGUGUUCUGGCCAGUCCCAAGCUGUGCUCAGGUUCACGCAGACAAUCCUGGAGCUGGACAGACAAAUCCAGCUGCAAAGGAUUAUGUUUCAGGGUCACCACAACCUCACUUAGCUUCCCCUGGGUCUCUGGUGUGUGCCUUUCAAAGGACACUAGCAGUUUGUGGGAAACACUGAUGCAGCAUGAAUCUCCCUUUAAUAACACAAAAGAUGCUAUUCAAGCCUUCUUGCAAAAGCUCCUAAGAAAAAAGGAGCCUAAAUCUGAACUUCCUUCCAUGAGACCCUUCCGUGAAGGAAGUGGAGAGACCCGUGGUCCAGGUUCUUGAUGGAUAGGUAUGCUGCCUGGCGAGAAUUCCUAAUAAUAAAUAUAUUGUCCCUUGAGGACUUAACGUUGAGCCAGUUGCUUUACUUACAUCAUUUCAUUUAAUCGUCUGUGUAUUGUUGUUUUCAUCCCCAUUGCAGACCCUGGGAAGCUGACCUGCCCAAGGUCACACAGCUAGUAAUUGGGGGAGGUGGAAUUUGACCUUAGGUGACUCAGUGUAAGAACCCAUGCCUACUUCCUCCCUCAUGGGCUGAUGUCAGUAAUUCCCAGCUACCUCCAGGAUUGGUGCCUUUACAAAAUCAAAAGCAGGACUGGAGAAGCUUUAGGAAUUAUAUGUUCUAAGCCAUAGGCUGCAAAUCUACAGCCUACAGGUCAUUUUUUUUUUUUUACAGCUUUAUUAAAGCAUAUUUUGCAUAUAUCAUUUACCUAUUUUAAAUAAAAAAUUUGAUGACUUUAUAAAUUUAUCAAGUUGGGCAGCCAUUCCCAUAACUCAGCUUUAGAAUAUUUUUAUUACCCCAAGAAGAUCCUUCAUGCCCCAUUUAUCUGCACACCAAACACAACCCACAAAGUUCGUGUUCGGAACACCAUAUUUAAAAGAAAAAUUUUUUUUAAAUUUUUGCUAAGAUUGAAAACUGAAACAAUUUUGCAUAAAAAUUUAAAUUUUCAACUUCUCUUGAAAAAAAUCAGAAGAUUGGACAAAAUUGGAUCUUCCUUCCUACAAGGUAAAAUUAGUAGCUGCCCUGUUGGACGGAACAUGUGCUUUCCACCUCCUUCUGUGAAAUCAGGGAGGGGAACCCACACAACAGGGCCCCUGAACCAUGGCCCCAAAUGUUCACCCUCCAGCCCCGGACACCUGGUUCCACGGCACUUGGCAGAUGGCAGAGCUGUUGUGACUGCUUUGUUGCUGCAAAGUUAAUUCUUGGACCCCACCAGAAAGGACCUACUCUAUUUAUUAUGUGGCUUUCUCUGAAAAUAAAGCCAAUUGUCUUCUUUUGAAAUUUCA